CACCAUUCAGUUCAACGUUGUGCUCCCUAACAUCAUGGUCUUUCACAGCGUCUUCCUCAUUUUCACUCUCACCAAUGAUCAGGAUGUCAUCUACAAUGCUCCAGAGUUCCUAUGACAUUUUAUGGCACUUUAUGGAAGUCGACAUAGAUCCGACCUCAGAGCACAUCCUCCCUCUCGCCCAUGUUAACACGACCCCAGUCCACUCACCUCCAGAGCCAGCUCCUCAAUCUCAAACUGCUUCUGCGAGACUCUGCUGGACCCGACGUGCUCAUGGUAGUACACUACCAUUACAUCAUACUUUCUCAUGACAGAUUUAUAAUUCUUAACGUUAAGGUUAUGAACACGAUCCUUUCCAUCGUACUCAGGGAUGACCAUGCCCUCGUGACCCCAUGACAGCUGUCCAAAAGACAACAGGAACAAUGAGAUGACCAGAUUCCACUUCAUGGCCAGGUGUUUAGCAUGAAUGGUAAUAAAUCCAAAGAAG